rnacentral:rRNA from 1 species
UACGUAGGGUGCGAGCGUUGUCCGGAAUUACUGGGCGUAAAGAGCUCGUAGGUGGUUUGUCGCGUUGUUCGUGAAAUCCCACGGCUUAACUGUGGGCGUGCGGGCGAUACGGGCAGACUGGAGUACUGCAGGGGAGACUGGAAUUCCUGGUGUAGCGGUGGAAUGCGCAGAUAUCAGGAGGAACACCGGUGGCGAAGGCGGGUCUCUGGGCAGUAACUGACGCUGAGGAGCGAAAGCGUGGGGGGCGAACAGG